CAAGAGUACGUGAAACCGUUCAGGGGUAAACCUGAGAAACCCAAAAGAUCGAAUGGGGAGAUUCAUCGUCAGCUCAUUUUGUAUAUAUAUAAGUUGUGAUGUAGGUUACUACUUGUAGUCAAACCUGUACAUGCUUGUAUAUUUAGUUGCAAGAUGUUGUCGGCGUGCACUUCUCCCCUAGUAGGACGUCGCGACCCGUUAAGUUUGUCGGUCUACGGCCCAAGUGGUAGACUUUAAUUUUUUAUUAAAUUAAAGACCCUUGGUGAUUUCUGACUGGCACUUGGCGGUAUUCGUAUGGUAUUAAGCCGCAAUAUAUAUGCGUCCAUGGCCGUCGCAAGCAAGAUUAAUUUUUUAGUAGUACGGACCUAGUGCCGUCGCUAUAAUUAAUCAGCUGUUGGUUGUACGGUAAUCUAGGACUGGCUUUAAAAUAAAAUACCGGUCAGCGAUGCUACUGCUUUGGGUACUUUCAGGACCCGUCUUGAAACACGGACCAAGUUUAUU
rnacentral:rRNA from 1 species